rnacentral:rRNA from 1 species
CCUACGGGGGGCAGCAGUGAGGAAUAUUGGUCAAUGGACGAAAGUCUGAACCAGCCAAGUAGCGUGAAGGAUGACGGCCCUAUGGGUUGUAAACUGCUUUUAUAAAGGAAUAAAACGAGGCACGUGUGCCUUUUUGCAUGUACUUUAUCAAUAAGGAGCGGCUAACUCCGUGUCAGCAGCCGCGGUAAUACGGAGGAUGCGAGCGUGAUCCGGAUUUAUUGGGUUUAAAGGGAGCGUAGAUGGGUUGUUAAGUCAGUUGUGAAAGUUUGCGGCUCAACCGUAAAAUUGCAAUUGAUACUGGCAGUCUUGAGUACAGGUGAGGUAAGCGGAAUUCGUGGUGUAGCGGUGAAAUGCUUAGAGAUCACGAAGAACACCGAUUGCGAAGGCAGCUGACUAAACUGUGACUGACAUUGAUGCUCGAAAGUGUGGGUAUCAAACAGGAUUAGAUACCCCUGUAGUC